UACGGAGGGUGCAAGCAUUAAUCGGAUUUAUUGGGCGUAAAGGGCGCGUAGGCGGAAGCGUAAGUCAGAUGUGAAAUCCCGGGGCUCAACCCCGGAACAGCAUUUGAAACUGCAUUUCUAGAGGGUAGGCGGAGAAAAUGGAAUUCCACAAGUAGCGGUGAAAUGCGUAGAUAUGUGGAAGAACACCAGUGGCGAAGGCGGUUUUCUAGCUUAUACCUGACGCUGAGGCGCGAAAGCAAGGGGGAUCAAACAGGAUUAGAAA
rnacentral:rRNA from 1 species